rfam:Dipodomys ordii contig_21826, whole genome shotgun sequence.
GGGAAGAUGGCUCAGUGGUAGAGUGCUUGCCUUGCAUGCAUGAGGCCCUGGGUUCGAUUCCUCAGCACCCCA